rnacentral:rRNA from 1 species
CCUACGGGAGGCAGCAGUGAGGAAUAUUGGUCAAUGGGAGAGAUCCUGAACCAGCAAAGCCGCGUGAGGGAAGACGGCCCUAUGGGUUGUAAACCUCUUUUGUCGGAGAACAAAAACCGGGACGAGUCCCGGACUGCGUGUAUCCGAAGAAAAAUCAUCGGCUAACUCCGUGCCAGCAGCCGCGGUAAUACGGAGGAUGAGAGCGUUAUCCGGAUUUAUUGGGGGUAAAGGGUGCGUAGGCGGUCUGUUAAGUCAGCGGUAAAAUUGCGGGGCUCAACCCCGUCGAGCCGUUGAAAAUGGGAGAAUUGAGUUGGCGAGAAGUACGCGGAAUGCGCGGUGUAGCGGUGAAAUGCAUAGAUAUCGCGCAGAACACCGAUUGCGAAGGCAGCGUACCGGCGCCAGACUGACGCUGAGGCACGAAAGCGUGGGGAUCGAACAGGAUUAGAUACCCGUGUAGUC